CUUUCAUACUUGUUGUAAUUCGGUAACAUUUCCGCCACCAGAUAGGAGUGGUGUGUUUAUUACUGUUCUGAUCAGUUUAAUACCUUCCGCGUCUCCUAUCAGUGGACGUGUAUAUGGCAGUGAUUUCUGUAACAGGGAGAUGGAAGAAGAUGCUUGGUCGGUCCUCCUAACUGGAGACUGUGUUGCUGUAUGGGUGGCAGGUGGAGCCAUUUAUAAAGUACCCACUGCUUUGCAGACCAGGUAUCAGUGGUCAGAUGGACCCUUGCCCCAACACUGUGUGCCAGACAUGCCAUUACUUCCUUUUGCAC